UAUCUUUCUGUAAAAUCACAUCUUAAAAAAAAGAAAGGGAUAAAGGACCAAGAAAAGAUGAAGGAGAGGAUAUGAAGAAGUAGAGUAGCACUUCAUAUACCCCAUCUUCAAGCCUUACAGACAGCUUGCAAGGCUAUACAUACCAUAAAGACAGAGACUAGAUCAAUAUUUCUCACCACUGUCUCCCAGUAUCUACGAGAGUACUGGGCACUUGGUUGAUGCUCAGUAAAUAUUUGCAAGAUUAAUGAAUGGAUGAAUGAAUGUAGUCCUCUACAAUAUUCAUUUCUUUUGUGAAAAUCUCAUGUCAUGCUGAGCACAAGACCACUACAAAUAAAGACUGCAUUUCCCAACCUCCCCUGAAGCUAGGUAUGCACAUGUGACUAAGUUCUAUCAACAGGAUAUCAACAGAAGUGUCAUAUCAGCAACUUCCACAAACUUUCCUUUGGAGAGAGCUGGUCCAUAUGGUUAGCUCCCUUGUCUCUCCCUCCUUUCUUCUUCCUGAAACAAAGAUGCUGCCAUCUUGAAGCUAAGGACAACCACACUCUUAGGAUGGAGGAGCAGUGAGAUUGAAGGAGCCUGCAGCCCCAAGGACUUUUAGAGCAAGAGUCAUUAUCAGCCUGUCCUGCCUACCUUCCAACUUUUAUAUGAGAAACAACACACUUCUAUCUAGGUGAAACCACUAUUAUUUUUGGAGGUUUUCUGUUACUGCUGAGCCUAAGGUUCAUUGAUACAGAAAAGACAACAUAUUCAGAGGAAAUAGGAAAUAGUACUCAACUUUAAGAAAUAUCAUAAACUUGAGAAGGAUAUGAGUAGUAUACUUUUUACAAAGCAGAAAAUUAUGAGUUUCACAAGAGAGAUUGAACAAAAUAUCAUUGAAGAUGGAAAAAAUAAAAGGGAAACAAAUCACUUCUGAUAGAAGAACAUAAGAGAAGGAAUCAUCGUUCAGGUGAUAUUUGAGACAGGUCUUCAAAGAAGAAUAGAAUUGUGACAGAUGAAAGUGAGGAGGCAUUGAAAUAGGAGAUGAAAGGCAAGCUAGGCAGAAGGAACAGCAUUACAAAGACAUGGAAGUGGAAAAGCAUGAAUUGUGUUCUGGGAAUGUUAGAUGAUUGAGUUUAAUAGGAGCACAGGUUGUAGACAGUGAUUGUUACUGACACCCAGUGGACCUAUUUGUUUAUCCUGCUGCAUUUUAUUUCAUGACCUUUGUCACUAGCUGACAGUAUAUUAUUAUAUUGACUUUAUAUUGUCUGUUUAUUUUCUAGAAUUACUAAAAUAAAAGUUCUCAAACUUUUUGGUCAUUAUCAAAAAUUAGUAAAAGCCCCAAAGAGCUUUUGUUUAUGUGAGUUAUAUCUAUAAAUACUUACUGUACCAGACAGUUAAAUUGAGAAAAUUUUAAAUAGCUA
rnacentral:lncRNA from 1 species